UCCUCUUGAACUCUGUGAUUUUUGCUUGUGUUUAAAAGGGUCUGAAUUUCUCUCACUCCUUCAUUUUCUUCCAUAUACCCCUGUAUUCAUUGAACAAGUUCUCUCCCUUUCAUUUCUUUCUUCUCGUGCAUGAGCUGAUUCCUGGAAAACCAGAUUAGCCGUAAAGCAAUACAGAAAAGGCGGCAUUGGUUCUCAGUUCCUCUCUUGAAAACCCAAAGCAUUGACGGAAAAUAUGAGGACUGUCUUCAACCCCAGAAUAGCAACGGGGGCAUCUGUCACUUGCAGUAAUUAUUUUGUAUCUGAGAUUUGCUAGAUAGGGGAUAAAAUCCCAAGAGAUUCGCCAGAUAGUUAUAGUAAUUUUUGAAGGAAACUGUAAACCCCAUAAUUUUUUGUAAAAAUUUUUAGUUUCGGUUUGUAAUAAGAAGUUACUAGGAUCUGAAUUAGCCCCUUGUAAUAGUUUAUAGGCACUUCAAACUAAGAAUUCCCCAGACGGUUAUCCUUUCCAGACUUGAAUAUCUUCAUGAUCCAUCUCUGCAAGUGGGAUCUGUAAAAUUUUCUUCGGAAUUUUCGUUGAAAA